UGCAAUGGAUGGUCGUGCGGAACUGC
rnacentral:piRNA from 3 species